rnacentral:rRNA from 1 species
CCUACGGGAGGCAGCAGUGGGGAAUAUUGCACAAUGGGCGCAAGCCUGAUGCAGCCAUGCCGCGUGUGUGAAGAAGGCCUUUCGGGUUGUAAAGCACUUUCAGCGGGGAGGAAGGCGUUAAGGUUAAUAACCUUGGCGAUUGACGUUACCCGCAGAAGAAGCACCGGCUAACUCCGCGCCAGCAGCCGCGGUAAUACGGAGGGUGCAAGCGUUAAUCGGAAUUACUGGGCGUAAAGCGCACGCAGGCGGUCUGUCAAGUCGGAUGUGAAAUCCCCGGGCUCAACCUGGGAACUGCAUUCGAAACUGGCAGGCUAGAGUCUUGUAGAGGGGGGUAGAAUUCCAGGUGUAGCGGUGAAAUGCGUAGAGAUCUGGAGGAAUACCGGUGGCGAAGGCGGCCCCCUGGACAAAGACUGACGCUCAGGUGCGAAAGCGUGGGGAGCAAACAGGAUUAGAUACCCCAGUAGUC